GGUAAGGCCCCUUCGGGGGUACACGAGUGGCGAACGGGUGAGUAACACGUGAGGUAAUCUGCCCUGCACUUCGGGAUAAGCCUGGGAAACUGGGUCUAAUACCGGAUAUGAACUCCAUCCGCAUGGUGGGGGUUGGAAAGUUUUUCGGUGCAGGAUGAGCCCGCGGCCUAUCAGCUUGUUGGUGGGGUAAUGGCCUACCAAGGCGACGACGGGUAGCCGGCCUGAGAGGGUGAUCGGCCACACUGGGA
rnacentral:rRNA from 1 species